AUUGAACGCUGGCGGCAUGCCUUACACAUGCAAGUCGAACGGCAGCACGGACCUCGGUCUGGCGGCGAGUGGCGAACGGGUGAGUAAUAUAUCGGAACGUACCCAAGAGUGGGGGAUAACGUAGCGAAAGUUACGCUAAUACCGCAUACGAUCUACGGAUGAAAGCAGGGGACCGCAAGGCCUUGUGCUCCUGGAGCGGCCGAUAUCUGAUUAGCUAGUUGGUAGGGUAAAGGCCUACCAAGGCAUCGAUCAGUAGCUGGUCUGAGAGGACGACCAGCCACACUGGAACUGAGACACGGCCCAGACUCCUACGGGAGGCAGCAGUGGGGAAUUUUGGACAAUGGGCGCAAGCCUGAUCCAGCAAUGCCGCGUGCAGGAAGAAGGCCUUCGGGUUGUAAACUGCUUUUGUCAGGGAAGAAAUCUUCUGGGCUAAUACCCUGGGAGGAUGACGGUACCUGAAGAAUAAGCACCGGCUAACUACGUGCCAGCCGCCGCAGUAA
rnacentral:rRNA from 1 species